ACUGCUCAGUAACACGUGGACAACCUGCCCUUAGGUUGGGUAUAAACCCGGGAAACUGGGUAUAAUACCCGAUAGGUCUCGAUUGCUGGAAUGCAUCGAGAUUUAAAGCUCCGGCGCCUAAGGAUGGGUCUGCGGCCUAUCAGGUAGUAGUGGGUGUAGCGUACCUACUAGCCUACGACGGGUACGGGUUGUGAGAGCAAGAGCCCGGAGAUGGAUUCUGAGACACGAAUCCAGGCCCUACGGGGUGCAGCAGGCGCGAAAACUUUACAAUGCUGGCAACAGCGAUAAGGGAACCUCGAGUGCCAGGUUACAAAUCUGGCUGUCGAGAUGCCUAAAAAGCAUUUCAUAGCAAGGGCCGGGCAAGACCGGUGCCAGCCGCCGCGGUAACACCGGCGGCUCGAGUGGUAACCGUUAUUAUUGGGUCUAAAGGGUCUGUAGCCGGCCGGAUAAGUCUCUUGAGAAAUCUGGCAGCUUAACUGUCAGGCUUUCAGGAGAUACUGUCUGGCUCGAGGCCGGGAGAGGUGAGAGGUACUUCAGGGGUAGGGGUGAAAUCUUGUAAUCCUUGAAGGACCGCCAGUGGCGAAGGCGUCUCACCAGAACGGACCUGACGGCAAGGGACGAAAGCUAGGGGCACGAACCGGAUUAGAUACCCGGGUAGUCCUAGCCGUAAACGAUACUCGCUAGGUGUCGGCCACGGUGCGACCGUUGUCGGUGCCGUAGGGAAGCCGUGAAGCGAGCCACCUGGGAAGUACGGCCGCAAGGCUGAAACUUAAAGGAAUUGGCGGGGGAGCAC
rnacentral:rRNA from 1 species